ensembl:lincRNA
UUUCCUUUGUCCUUCAAAGUUUCGCACAUGGAUGACGUGGCCAGACAAAAGAAAGUUAAAGAGUGUUUUAUUAAAGUACUUUAGGAGGCAGUGAGGGAAACACCACUAAUUUUCCUCAUUGACGAGGCCCAGUAUAUGGAUGCAGCUUCCUGGGAGUUUUUGGAAACAUUGCUCUCCAGUAUGCCCAUCAUCAUGGUGAUGACGUUGACCCCUAUCUUCACCCUGUGUGGCUGGGCCGAGCAGUUCCUGCAGAGCCCUCAAGCUAUCCUUAUGCCUGUUUCGAAGUUGGCAACAACCUCGCUGUUGAGAAUGGCAUGUUGGGAACUAGGGGUGCUACCCUUCACAGGUGCUUUGGAAACCCACUUUAUUGUGAGGUCCUAUGCCAGGACCUUCUCUCUAACGACAUGUUGCUCUUUCAUGUCCUACAAAAGGAGGAAGAGGAAAACAGCAAGUGGGAAACCCUCUCAGCCAAUGCCAUGAAAUCCAUAAUGUAUAGUAUUUCUCCUGCCAACUCUGAGGAAGGCCAGGAACUUUAUGUCUGCACAGUCAAGGAUGAUGUGAACUUGGAUACAGUACUUCUCCCACCCUUUUUGAAAGAAAUAGCAGUAAGCCAACUGGAUCAACUGAGCCCAGAGGAACAGUUGCUGGUCAAGUGUGCUGCAAUCAUUGGUCACUCCUUCCAUAUAGAUUUGCUGCAGCACCUCCUGCCUGGCUGGGAUAAAAAUAAGCUACUUCAGGUCUUGAGAGCUCUUGUGGGUAUACAUGUGCUCUGCUGGUCUGACAAGAGCCAAGAGCUUCCUGCUGAGCCCAUAUUAAUGCCUUCCUCUAUCGACAUCAUUGAUGGAACCAAAGAGAAGAAGACAAAGUUAGAUGGUGGUUCAGCCUCUCUUCUCAGGCUACAAGAAGAAUUAUCCCUACCACAAACUGAGGUGUUGGAAUUUGGAGUGCCUCUGCUACGGGCAGCUGCUUGGGAGCUCUGGCCCAAGGAACAACAGAUAGCUCUGCACCUUGAAUGUGCCUGCUUUCUCCAAGUUUUGGCCUGCCGCUGUGGGAGCUGCCAUGGAGGAGACUUUGUCCCCUUUCAUCAUUUUGCAGUUUAUUCUACUAAGAAUUCCAAGGGGACCUCUCGAUUCUGUACUUACAGAGAUACUGGCUCAGUGCUAACACAAGUGAUCACAGAAAAAUUGCAGCUGCCUUCUCCCCAAGAUAGUUUUCAGUUCCAGACAAAGCCAUCCAGAACUCAGGAGGCCUUCUCAAGUGAAUGCUGCAGAACAGAGGAAGAGUUCCUAGAUCAAGUGAAGAGGAAGCUGGCUCAGACCAGCCCUGAGAAAGACCUGUUGACCACAAAGCCUUGUCACUGUAAGGAUAUCCUGAAGUUAGUGCUCUUACCCCUCACCCAGCAUUGCUUGGUCGUUGAAGAAACCACCUGUGCAUUUUAUUACCUGCUGGAGGCUGCGGCUGCCUGCUUGGACCUGUCAGAUAAUUAUAUGGUCUGUUUCAACAUGGGACGUAUCACUUUAGCCAAAAAAUUGGCUAGGAAAGCCCUUCGACUGCUGAAAAGGAAUUUCCCUUGGACCUGGUUUGGUGUCCUUUUCCAGACAUUCCUGGAAAAGUAUUGGCAUUCCUGUACCCUGAGCCAACCUCCAAACGACCCUAGUGAGAACAGUAAGAAUUUGGCAGUCCUGCAGCAGCAGGUGCAUUGCCUCUCCCUACUCUGGCAGCUCUAUAACCAGGAGGCCACAGCCAGUAGCUACAGGUUUGCCUGCCUGGCUACUCUUAUGCAGAAGAAUUCAGCUGAUGAGUUUGCAAAUGAAGCCCAGGUUGUCUCUACCUAUGUGGAGCUCUCUCAGUUCUCCCAGAGCGUGGGCAUCAAGGACAAGUGGCUGCACUGUGAGCAGAUGGCCAUUCAGAAAAGCAGUUUAUGUUGGUUCUCCAGGGAGGGGUUGUUGGCCACAGCUCAGCUCAUGCAGGCCCUGGCCUACACCAAGCUCUGCCUUGGUCAUCUUGACUUCUCCAUCAAGCUGGAUUUGGUCUGUGUGUCCAUGUACUGGAGAGUCAGUGGGUGCUCAUUUCUCAGAGUUAUGAUGUCCUUGGCCUGGCCUGCUUUUACUCUGCUUGCUUAG